GACGAACGCUGGCGGCGUGCUUAACACAUGCAAGUCGAACGAAGAGCGAUGGAAGCUUGCUUCUAUCAAUCUUAGUGGCGAACGGGUGAGUAACGCGUAAUCAACCUGCCCUUCAGAGGGGGACAACAGUUGGAAACGACUGCUAAUACCGCAUACGAUCUAAUCUCGGCAUCGAGGAUAGAUGAAAGGUGGCCUCUACAUGUAAGCUAUCACUGAAGGAGGGGAUUGCGUCUGAUUAGCUAGUUGGAGGGGUAACGGCCCACCAAGGCGAUGAUCAGUAGCCGGUCUGAGAGGAUGAACGGCCACAUUGGGACUGAGACACGGCCCAGACUCCUACGGGAGGCAGCAGUGGGGAAUCUUCCGCAAUGGGCGAAAGUCUGACGGAGCAACGCCGCGUGAGUGAUGACGGCCUUCGGGUUGUAAAGCUCUGUUAAUCGGGACGAAAGGCCUUCUUGCGAAUAGUGAGAAGGAUUGACGGUACCGGAAUAGAAAGCCACGGCUAACUACGUG
rnacentral:rRNA from 1 species